CACUCUGCUCCUUUUUAUCCUGUGCAUAACAAGGGGUUGUAUAGAUUUAUUUCUGCUCUGUGUAGAAGACCAUACAUAGAGAAGCAGAAUCUUGUGUCUUGUAAAUAAACAAAAGAACAUACCAGGCUCCAGCAAUUUCUACUUCCAACUGGAACAUUCCCAGGGCCCUGAAGCUUGGGUGGAAAAGAGGUCUCUCUGUCAUGGAACCCUCCUGGUCAGCCUCAAAGCCCCCUUCAGGUGAUCAAGGAUCCUCAUCAAGCAAUUCUUUGCUUGGUUGCUACCCAACUG